GCGAGCGUAGCUCAGUCUGGUAGAGCGCCACCUUGCCAAGGUGGCUGUCGUGGGUUCGAAUCCCAUCGCUCGCUCCA
rnacentral:tRNA from 1 species